UACGUAGGGCGCAAGCGUUGUCCGGAAUUAUUGGGCGUAAAGAGCUCGUAGGCGGUCUGUUACGUCCGCUGUGAAAACCCGGGGCUUAACCCUGGGCUGGCAGUGGAUACGGGUAGACUAGAGGCAGGUAGGGGAGAGUGGAAUUCCCGGAGUAGCGGUAAAAUGCGUGGAUCUCGGGAGGAACACCAAUGGCGAAGGCAGCUUCUUGGCUCAUACCUGACGUUGAGGCACGAAAGCGUGGGGAGCAAACAGG
rnacentral:rRNA from 1 species